UUAAACGAACCAUACAGUAUAUAGAUGUGCCAGUUCAUACAACAAACCUUUCCCACAUCGAACAGAGAUAACUGAAUCCCAGGGCCCAGCCAGCCCAGCAAUGCGUUGCAUGGGUUGUAUCACAUUAUGUAUAGCCUUUGAUUAAAUUUAACUCCUAGAAAUUCGUUUACACAACAACAAAAUGAAUUCGAAAUCAAUUUGAAUAAAUUAAUGAUUAUAUUUAUUUAA